AUUGAACGCUGGCGGAAUGCUUUACACAUGCAAGUCGAACGGCAGCACGGACUUCGGUCUGGUGGCGAGUGGCGAACGGGUGAGUAAUAUAUCGGAACGUGCCCAGUCGUGGGGGAUAACGUAGCGAAAAUUACGCUAAUACCGCAUACGAUCUACGGAUGAAAGCGGGGGAUCGCAAGACCUCGCGCGAUUGGAGCGGCCGAUAUCAGAUUAGGUAGUUGGUGAGGUAAAGGCUCACCAAGCCAACGAUCUGUAGCUGGUCUGAGAGGACGACUAGCCACACUGGAACUGAGACACGGUCCAGACUCCUACGGGAGGCAGCAGUGGGGAAUUUUGGACAAUGGACGCAAGUCUGAUCCAGCCAUUCCGCGUGCAGGACGAAGGCCUUCGGGUUGUAAACUGCUUUUGUACAGAACGAAAAGGUCUCUAUUAAUACUAGGGGCUCAUGACGGUACUGUAAGAAUAAGCACCGGCUAACUACGUGCCAGCCGCCGCAGUAA
rnacentral:rRNA from 1 species